rnacentral:rRNA from 1 species
AGUGAACGCUGGCGGUAGGCCUAACACAUGCAAGUCGAACGGCAGCACAGUAAUAGCUUGCUCUUACGGGUGGCGAGUGGCGGACGGGUGAGGAAUACAUCGGAAUCUACUUUUUCUUGGGGGAUAACGUAGGGAAACUUACGCUAAUACCGCAUACGACCUACGGGUGAAAGCAGGGGAUCUUCGGACCUUGCGCGAUUGAAUGAGCCGAUGUCGGAUUAGCUAGUUGGCGGGGUAAAGGCCCACCAAGGCGACGCUCCGUAGCUGGUCUGAGAGGAUGAUCAGCCACACUGGAACUGAGACACGGUCCAGACUCCUACGGGAGGCAGCAGUGGGGAAUAUUGGACAAUGGGCGCAAGCCUGAUCCAGCCAUACCGCGUGGGUGAAGAAGGCCUUCGGGUUGUAAAGCCCUUUUGUUGGGAAAGAAAAGGAGCAGGUUAAUACCCCGCUGUUCUGACGGUACCCAAAGAAUAAGCACCGGCUAACUUCGUG